CGAAAACGAAUUCUCUCUUGAGUGGAUCCUGAGUACGACGGAGCACGUGAAAUUCCGUCGGAAUCUGGGAGGACCAUCUCCUAAGGCUAAAUACUCUCUAGUGACCGAUAGUGAACCAGUACCGUGAGGGAAAGGUGAAAAGUACCCCGGAAGGGGAGUGAAAGAGAACUUGAAACCGUGUGCUUACAAGUAGUCAGAGCCCGUUAAUGGGUGAUGGCGUGCCUUUUGUAGAAUGAACCGGCGAGUUACGAUCUGAUGCAAGGUUAAGCAGAAAAUGUGGAGCCGUAGCGAAAGCGAGUCUGAAUAGGGCGAAUGAGUAUUUGGUCGUAGACCCGAAACCAGGUGAUCUACCCUUGGUCAGGUUGAAGUUCAGGUAACACUGAAUGGAGGACCGAACCGACUUACGUUGAAAAGUGAGCGGAUGAACUGAGGGUAGCGGAGAAAUUCCAAUCGAACUUGGAGAUAGCUGGUUCUCUCCGAAAUAGCUUUAGGGCUAGCCUCAAGUGAUGAUUAUUGGAGGUAGAGCACUGUUUGGACGAGGGGCCCCUCUCGGGUUACCGAAUUCAGACAAACUCCGAAUGCCAAAUAAUUUAACUUGGGAGUCAGAAUGUGGGUGAUAAGGUCCAUAUUCGAAAGGGAAACAGCCCAGACCACCAGCUAAGGUCCCAAAAUAUAUGUUAAGUGGAAAAGGAUGUGGCGUUGCCCAGACAACUAGGAUGUUGGCUUAGAAGCAGCCAUCAUUUAAAGAGUGCGUAAUAGCUCACUAGUCGAGUGACACUGCGCCGAAAAUGUACCGGGGCUAAACAUAUUACCGAAGCUGUGGAUUGUCCUUUGGACAAUGGUAGGAGAGCGUUCUAAGGGCGUUGAAGCAUGAUCGCAAGGACAUGUGGAGCGCUUAGAAGUGAGAAUGCCGGUGUGAGUAGCGAAAGACGGGU
rnacentral:rRNA from 1 species